UAAAGCGAUUAAGCGCAUAUGGUGGAUGCCUAGGCAGUCAUAGGCGAUGAAAGACGUGACAGCCUGCGAUAAGCGUCGGGUAGGUGGCAAGUAACUUAUAAUCCGGCGAUGUCUGAAUAGGGAAACCUACUGAAUGAAUUCAGUAUCUGUAAGUGAAUAUAUAAUUUACAGAAGCUAACCAAGGGAACUGAAACAUCUAAUUACCUUGAGGAAAAGAAAUCAAAUGAGAUUCCCUUAGUAGUGGCGAGCGAAAAGGGAAAAGCCCAUUAAGCAAUUAUAUAAGUUAGAUAAAACAGAUGGAAAGCUGUACCAGAGUAGGUGAUAGUCCUGUAAUUAAAAACUUAUUAAGUGUGAAAUAGAUUAGGUCGGGGCACGAGAAACCUUGACUGAAGAAGGGGGGACCAUCCUCCAAGGCUAAAUACUAUUGACUGACCGAUAGUGAACUAGUACCGUGAGGGAAAGGUGAAAAGAACCCUAGUAAAGGGAGUGAAAGAGAUCCUGAAACCAUAUGCGUACAAGCAGUGGAAGCCUAAAAAAAUAGGUAACUGCGUACCUUUUGUAUAAUGGGUCAGCGAGUUAUUUUCGGUAGCAAGCUUAACCGGAUAGGGGAGGCGUAGGGAAACCGAGUCUUAAAUGGGCGUAAGAGUUGCCGGGAAUAGACCCGAAACCGGGCGAUCUAUCCAUGAGCAGGUUGAAAAAUUAAGUAACAUUAAUUGAAGGACCGAACCGGGGUCUGUUGAAAAAGACUCGGAUGACUUGUGGAUCGGAGUGAAAGGCUAAUCAAGCUCGGAGAUAGCUGGUUCUCCUCGAAAGCUAUUUAGGUAGCGCCUUAUGUAUCACCAUUGGGGGUAGAGCACUGUUUCGGAUAUGGAGUCAUAUAGACUUACUAAACCGAGGCAAACUACGAAUACCAAGGAGUGCAGCAUAGGAGACACACUAUGGGUGCUAACAUCCAUGGUGGAAAGGGAAAGAACCCAGACCGUCAGAUAAGGUCCCAAAAUCUUAGUUAAGUGGAAAACGAGGUGGGAAGACUAAGACAGCUAGGAGGUUGGCUUAGAAGCAGCCAUCCUUUAAAGAAAGCGUAAUAGCUCACUAGUAUAGUUCACCUGCGCGGAAAAUAUAACGGGGCUAAAACUAAGUGCCGAAGCUACGGGCUUAUAUUAAAUAUAAAAAUAUAAGCGGUAGAGGAGCGUUGUGUAAGUCUGUGAAGGUAUAUUGGAAAAUAUGCUGGAGAUAUCACAAGUGCGAAUGCUGACAUAAGUAACGAUAAGGGAUGUGAGAACCAUCCCCGCCGAAAAACUAAGGGUUUCUGUUCAACGGUAAUCGGAGCAGAGUUAGUCGGUCCUAAGGUGAGGCUGAAAAGCGUAAUCGAUGGAAAACGGGUUAAUAUUCCCGUACCAUAUGUAAUUGCGAUGGGGGGACGGAGAAGGCUAGACGAGCCCAGCGUUGGUAGUCUGGGUGAAAGUAUGUAGGUUUAGAAAUUAGGUAAAUCCGAUUUCUUAAUAAAACUAAGGUAUGAGACGAAAUAGUGAAGUCGUUGAUGUCAUGCUUCCAGGAAAAGCCUCUAAGCUUCAGAUUACAUAUGACCGUACCAUAAACCGACACAGGUGGUUAGGUAGAGUAUACCAAGGCGUUUGAGAGAACUCGGGUGAAGGAACUAGGCAAAAUGGCACCGUAACUUCGGGAGAAGGUGCGCCGAUGUAUUGUAUAACCUAUAAACAGGGAAAGCAAGAAUCGGUCUCAGAUAACGGGUGGCUGCAACUGUUUAUUAAAAACACAGCACUCUGCUAACGCGUAAGCGGACGUAUAGGGUGUGACGCCUGCCCGGUGCUGGAAGGUUAAGAGGAGAUGUGAAAGCAUUGAAUUGAAGCCCCAGUAAACGGCGGCCGUAACUAUAACGGUCCUAAGGUAGCGAAAUUCCUUGUCGGGUAAGUUCCGACCUGCACGAAUGGCGUAAUGAUGGCCACACUGUCUCCAUCCGAGACUCAGUGAAAUUGAAAUUGCUGUGAAGAUGCAGUAUUCCCGCGGCUAGACGGAAAGACCCCGUGAACCUUUACUAUAGCUUCAUAUUGAAAGUGGGUAUUAUUUGUGUAGAAUAGCUGGGAGACAAUGAAGUAAAAACGCCAGUUUUUAUGGAGUCAACCUUGAAAUACCAGCCUAAUAUUAUUUACUUUCUAACUUAAUACCGUUAUCCGGUAUAAGGACAGUGUGUGGUGGGUAGUUUGACUGGGGCGGUCUCCUCCUAAAGAGUAACGGAGGAGCGCAAAGGUACCCUAAGUACGGUCGGAAAUCGUACUUAUAGUGUAAGAGCAUAAGGGUGCUUAACUGCGAGACAAACAAGUCGAGCAGAUACGAAAGUAGGUUCUAGUGAUCCGGUGGUUUCUGUAUGGAAGGGCCAUCGCUCAACGAAUAAAAGGUACUCCGGGGAUAACAGGCUAAUACCGCCCAAGAGUUCACAUCGACGGCGGUGUUUGGCACCUCGAUGUCGGCUCAUCACAUCCUGGGGCUGAAGCAGGUCCCAAGGGUAUGGCUGUUCGCCAUUUAAAGUGGUACGCGAGCUGGGUUUAGAACGUCGUGAGACAGUUCGGUCCCUAUCUACCGCGGGCGUUGGAAGUUUGAGAAGAGCUGCUCUUAGUACGAGAGGACCGGAGUGGACGAACCGAUGGUGUUCCGGUUGUCAUGCCAAUGGCAUUGCCGGGUAGCUAAGUUCGGAAGGGAUAACUGCUGAAAGCAUAUAAGCGGGAAGCCCACUUCAAGAUAAGACUUCCCUGGGGUUGUAUCCCCUAAAGGACCCUUGAAGAUUACGAGGUUGAUAGGCACGGUGUGUAAGAGUGGUAACACUUUAAGCUAACGUGUACUAAUAGUCCGUGAGGCUUUAUCAU
rnacentral:rRNA from 1 species